GGAAAAAGAACAAAGCUGCACUUUUGUACAGUGUUCAGGAGGACAGUGUCCUUGGUGGUGUGCACAGGAUCAAUUUGUUGGUUCAACAGCCUGGAAGUGAUGAAUUGCAAAUUCCAGAGGAGGAGUCUAAGCAGCAGCUUAUAAUAAUCAUACCAGAAGAAAAAAAAAAAAAAGAAAAAAGAAACACAGAUAGGUCU